ACCAAAGUAAUUAAAGUCGAUGAAUUGUAUAAGUAGGCAGUUCAUUUUCCUGUGUACCGGGAUUGCAAGGGCUGGAUAAUUUAAAUUUCAGGAACGACUAAUUAACAAAACAUGCCUACGCCAAUUCUUGGUAAAUCGUAUUGGCAAAUCGAAUCAUAUCUUACAAGUACCAUAUAGCUCUCUACAACCAGGUUCAAAAUGGUACACUUGUAGAUACAUAUUUACUGUCUGCGCAAUUUUAACUACUAUAUAAUUUAACAAUACAAAGUACAGCGUUUUCAUUCUUGAGUAUGACAAAGUGAAAGUAGUUAAAGGCGAAUUUAAUUAUGAAGUCGUUGCCACUGGAUUAUUUAGUAGACGAACAAUGCACUCAACUGGAAAUAGAUUGUAAGUACAUUGUAAUACAAUACUUCCAAUGGCCAUGUUAAUGAACUUCAAAGCGUAUUGCUUAAUGUUAAUGAACUGCUGAAUGCAAAUCAAUAGGCCGUUGAUUGAACUUGCUUUAUAAAAUAUCUGUAUAUCAUUUUUACAGAAGCAAUCAAGUGACAGUGAUUCAUUGGUUCAAUUGCACGCAAUGGCUCAGUCGGCAAAAGAAGAUUGACCAAGAAAAGUGUAGCUUCUUUACAAAUCAGGAUCACAUCAUCCGCCAACAACUUGCAACAACUUAAGUAGCUGGAACCGAUUUAUCAUUUGUCGUGUAACUGAUGAUAUUGCGAAGAUGCCUCCUUUUGUUGAAUAGUAUAAGCCCGGGACAUUUUUCAACAUGUAUGCAUAUUCUUUGUAAAUACUCGCAUUUAUUCAUAUACUAUAUAAAUAUAUGUCUUUACUAAAAUUUUAUGAAAGUUUAUAUUUAUUUCUAUCACAUAGUCGUAUGUCUUAAGCAUAUAUGUAAGUAAAUACGUAAACACUAUUUUGAUGAACUUAUGUAUUUGGGGCAGUGAAACUUGGUGUAAACUGUGAAAGUACCUAUCUAUACUUAAUAUUUACUUUAGCAUGUACAGCUAUUGCUUUAUGCACGAUAACUACGGCAGUCGUUGUUAGAAUUGGUAAAAUGAGAGUAAUAAACAGAGUACAGAACACACAAUAUUGGGGUUCCCUAUAAAUAAUUAAAUACAUAUAUGAUUUUAAAUAGUAAUGAGAGAGGAUAAUUUUCUGCUAAGUUCUAAGUACUAAGGAGCGCUUUAAAUCUAAAAGGAUAUCUAAGGAUAAUCACUACGAUACAUGCGGUUAGAUUAGAUGA